rnacentral:rRNA from 1 species
CCUACGGUGGCUGCAGUGGGGAAUAUUGGACAAUGGGCGAAAGCCUGAUCCAGCCAUGCCGCGUGUGUGAAGAAGGCCUUCGGGUUGUAAAGCACUUUCAGUGGGGAAGAAAGCCUUGGGGCUAAUACCCUCGAGGAAGGACAUCACCCACAGAAGAAGCACCGGCUAACUCCGUGCCAGCAGCCGCGGUAAUACGGAGGGUGCGAGCGUUAAUCGGAAUUACUGGGCGUAAAGCGCGCGUAGGCGGUCUGAUAAGCCGGUUGUGAAAGCCCCGGGCUCAACCUGGGAACGGCAUCCGGAACUGUCAGGCUAGAGUGCAGGGGAGGAAGGUAGAAUUCCCGGUGUAGCGGUGAAAUGCGUAGAGAUCGGGAGGAAUACCAGUGGCGAAGGCGGCCUUCUGGACUGACACUGACGCUGAGGUGCGAAAGCGUGGGUAGCAAACAGGAUUAGAUACCCUAGUAGUC